AAAUUCUCCACUCACCAGGCUGGCACAUUAGCAAAUAAUAUGAUUUGUACCACUUUCUGAGCCUGUUCUAGAGAACUGAAAAAAGAACAACAGGGAGGCAAGGAAAACAACUGCAAGUAAAAAUAAUCAUCUUCCCCACACUAUUUUCCAUAAAAAGACUUCCUCCCCUCUAAUAUUAUGGAAUAGAAGGGCCACAAAAGCCACCUUCAUUUCCAGCCCUGUUUCUGCUCACCCCUGAAUGCUGGCCAGCUGGGCUGUUCUGUAGCCAAACUCCAUCAAACUGCACCAUCAAAGUGUCAUUUUUAAGCAGACUCCCCAGCAGAACAGGAUGAAAUUACUGCAGCAUCAACACAGGUGUACCUGACACGGGAAUGAGGCAAAGAUAUGGAGGAAGUGCCAAUAUGACCCAAAAAUUUGUUGGGGAGUUGCACCAGGCAGUUUGGGUGCCUGUUGCGAUACAUUGCAAUGAGUUAGAGGCAGAGAGCAGUUGAAAGACAACAGGAGUUUCUGCAGAAAAUCACUGAAACCAUCAGGAGAUUGCACAUCUAGAGGGAAACCCUGGGCUGGGUAGAGUUUGGCACUCCUCCAAAAUCACUGCAAUGCUGCUUGGAAGGGACUGAGGAGAUCUCCAGCACCACCUUCCAUUUGAACCAACACUAUUGCCAGUAUAAGGUGGCUUUAGCCUAGAGACUGUCAGAAAAAGGGUAAUCACAAAAAAUAAAAGGACUAGGGGGAGGGAAGCCCUGGGAAGUGAUGAAUCAGAAAGAGAGAGAAUUUGGGAAAAAGAACAUGAGAAACCUGACCUAGAUGACAAUGUGCAACAAGCAUGGGGUUUAGACUGGGUGACCUUUAGAGCUGCCUUCUAAUCAAAAUACAGAUUCAUAUAGAUCUGUUUCCAUGACAUGUAUUGCAUGGACUUGAAGGCUUUCCUCCAUGGAAGGGCCUCAUGUCUGCUUCUGGAGUCUACAGACACUGAAACAUCACAUCCCUCCAUGGCCCAGAUGAAGCCCUGUUUCCAUGAGGUUCACCCAGCAUCCAUAUCUAUCUGCUUCCUUGUGUCUUCAAUUUUAGUUGUACUUUCCUUGGGCUGUGAAUCAGUACAGCUCCCAGAACAAUGGGAAACUUAUCUUGAACCCAUGUUAUCUGAGGCAACAGCACAACAAGUGAGGACACUCACGCUGAUUUGGAAGUAAAUGAACUCUUGCUUCCUCAUUGCUCUUUCUACAGUCAUGAGCCUCCCUCUCCCAUGAACAUUUGAAACUUGGCAGCUCAGUUUUGCUUUGCUUGUUAUUGGGAGUGAUUGCCCUGGCAGGGAUCCUGAACCAGCACACCACAUGCAGUGGGACAUUCU